rnacentral:misc_RNA from 1 species
UUGCGAUAAGUAGUAUGAAUUGCAAAUUCUGUGAAUCAUCGAAUCUUUGAACGCAUAUUGCGCUCUCUGGUACUCCGGAGAGCAUGCCUGUUUGAGGGUAAUUAAUUAAAUCUUUGAUCUUUCUUGGUCAAGGGAUAUGGGCAUUCCGUGUUAAGCGCGGUGGCCUAAAAUGUAUGGUUAGUCUCAUCAAGUUGAGAUGUGUAAUAAUAUUUAUUUCGCAAACCAUUUGAUGAAUUAUCAAGUUUUGAUCUAUUUAACUCUGUUAGAUGUGGUUAAAACAAAUAUAUUUUUGACAUUACCUCAAAUCAGGUAGGAAUACCCGCUGAACUUAA